rnacentral:tRNA from 2 species
GGGCCGCUAGCUCAAUUGGUAGAGCACCGGCCUUUUAAGCCGGGUGUCUUGGGUUCGAUUCCCAAGCGGCCCACCA